rnacentral:tRNA from 1 species
GCCGGGGUGGUGAAACUGGUAGACACGUCAGACUCAAAAUCUGAUGGGCGUUAGCCCGUGCCGGUUCGAGUCCGGCCCUCGGUA